rnacentral:sRNA from 1 species
AGUCUUUGGUGACCUUGUUGGGAAAAAAUUGGCUAAAAUGCGCCUCAGCUUCCUCGAUCUGCACAAUCUUCUCUCCAGUUGGGUUACAACAACUCGGCGGAAGAAGGCUCCAGAUAUGUCCUGGCAGCCAACUGAAUUGCCGAAAGGAAGAUCUCAUCUAUGGCCUACCUUUGUGUUGGAAGUGGGAUAUACAGAGACUGAAGCACAGCUUGAACGUGAUGCGAGAUGGUGACUGGAACAGUCCAAUGGAGAUGUGGGCAUUGUGAUUACAAUCGACAUCGAGAUGGAUAAAGGUAGACUUCUCAUUGGAAAAUGGGAAAUGGGAGCAUCAACAAGACCAGCAAGACAAAAUAUGUAUCGGGGAUGUAUUCCACAGCUCAUUGAAACUACCUGCAUUCUGCGAAUCGCCGAUUCAAAUAUUUGGGAGGCGGACGAUGCUGUUCGUCUUCCAUUUGAGAAGAUAUUCUUGCGGACACCUUCAUCUCGAGAGUCAGAUUUGGUUUUAACUCGAAAGAACCUACAGCAACUAGCUGCAAUGGUGUGGAGGGACCCGAGAUGCUCUGAAACGGCAUAGGAGAAAGAGGAGUAUACUUACGAUGGCAAUUGGCAGUGUUCUCUAUAAGGUUAUUUCA